rnacentral:lncRNA from 1 species
ACAAGUCUGUGCGAUGGCGUUGCAGGAGUCCUAGGAGAGUGAGUUGUAUUAUUUAAAGGUCCUGGAUUUCUACAUUGAUGUGUGUCUGCAAUGUAGUGUCACCUACUUAGGAAACAAGGAGACCAUGAACUGUGUCCAGUUCUAACGAGCCGAAUGUUUAUGUAAGGUGCCGCUUUUCCGGAUUUUCACUGUAAAGUUCUUAAUUCCUUAAUUUCCGUGGAGUUUACAGCUAUUUGAGGAACCACCUCACUGCCAGUUAAGUGGCAAUAAGCUAGUUUGCAGAAACCAGACCAUGCGUUAAUCAUUUCAAAAGAGUUUUACAAUUUUCUGGAGGAGGGAAGUUGCCAGGAACUUAUCUUUUAGUAAUUUAAGAGCGGGUGCCCGGCACACAAUAAAGUUUCCUCACAGAGGACAAAGAGCAAAAGCAGGGACUCAGGCUGCUUUUGACAUUCAAGAUUCACAGCCUGCGGUGUCUUUAAUCCCAGCUCACUGCAAGCAAAUUCAGGCACCUCUGAGUUCCAGGCUGCCUUGUUUACAGUGAGUCCCUGGCCUGCCAGGGCUACACAGUGAAACCCUGUCUCAAAACAAAACAAAGAACAACAAAACCAGAAAUAUCCAGAUUCAUCACAGAAGAUAUUUGUGAAUCAAGCCUUUCCAUGUUUUGUUUGUUAAGUUUACAAGUUGUUGCUCAUCAAUAUGUUUAUUUUAAUCUUCAUUCUACAUAUUAUAAAAUGUUACUUAAGCUUGCAAAAAAAAAAUAGAAAAAUAGACAAAAGGAACUUGCCAGAUGUUAUGGAUAUGCCUUCAAUCACUUGGGAGGCAGAGACAGGAGAAACUCUAGUUCUAGGAGAGCCAGAGGCCUGUACUGGGACUGUCCCAAAAAAAAAGGAGGAGGAGAGAGGGAAAUAGUAUGUUAUAUUGGCAGUUUUCCUUGGAAAUAACAGAAUCCCUUCUGGGCCAAACCAAGCUGCUCUGAGCAGCCUACUACCCAGGGAACCUCCACUCUCCUGCCACCUCUCCUUCACCUCCAUCAGACUCCUGAACCACAGGUAAGGUUCCCUUCCCCAACCCUUCUUCCCUGCUAUCUGAGUCCUCUGGGGCAAGCCAAGCUGCUGGAGCAGCCCGCCAUCCGAGAGGUCCUCCAUUCUCCUGCCACAUAUCUGCCCACCUUCAUCAAACCUGAGACUCCUGAAGCAUACAGAACCACAGGUUCGCAACCAUACAGCCCAAGGCAGCCCAUCAGAGGCCUGCCACACCAGGACCAUCCAGGUUCACCUUCCUCUCAAUCCGGCUACAAUGAGAACAUCCAUGGAGCAAAAGCAUCUAGAUGGCUAAAGGCCCUCGAAACAACACAAUCAACACGAACCAGGCCAAUGUGACACCUCCAAAGCACAGCUACCCCAUGACAGACAGCAAGCCCUAGUUAUCCUGAUCCAACCAAACCACGAGAAAACUGUAGCAGCUUGAGUUCUCAUGCUAAUCAGGUUACUCAAAAACCUGUUUCCAGUGUCCUGCACAUAGGCUAAAGGAACACUGCCCCCAGUUGGCUCUGGUUGGGAAAUAGAGUUAACAGUGGCCAAUGAUGGAAGGGAGAUAGAGGCAGGACUUUUAGGAUCCCCAGGCAAGAAACAAGGGAGAGGGAGCUGGAGAAAUGACUCAGAGGUUAAGAACACUGACUGCUCUUCUGGAGGUCCUGAGUUCAAAUCCCAGCAAUUACAUGGUGGCUUACAACCAUCUGUAAUGAGGUCGGAUGCCCUCUUCUGGUGUGUCUAAAGACAGUGACAGUGUACUCAUAAGCAGUAUACAUGUAAAGUAUACAUAAUAAAUAAAUAAAUCUUUU